GCUCUAGCAUCGCGAGACUGCCGGCUCCCUCCCCCGGCUCCCGGCGCUCCCAACCGCCCGCGCCUGCUGCGGGGCAGCGGCUGGGAUGGCGAGCCGCGGAGCCGAGGUAGUGACGAGAGCAGCGGUUCCGCCAUUGGACGAGGAGGCCUGAGGGACGGGCCAGCGGCGCACAAGGAGAGAGCUAGGCGGGUGGCCCCGAGAGAGCUAGGGCAAUGGAGGCCAACAUGCCGAAGCGGAAGGAGCCUGGCAAGUCCCUUCGCAUCAAAGUCAUCUCCAUGGGCAACGCCGAAGUGGGAAAAAGCUGUAUUAUAAAGCGAUACUGUGAGAAGAGAUUUGUGUCUAAAUACCUGGCAACAAUUGGAAUUGACUAUGGAGUCACAAAGGUACAAGUCAGAGACAGAGAAAUCAAAGUUAACAUCUUUGAUAUGGCUGGACAUCCCUUCUUCUAUGAGGUUCGUAAUGAGUUUUACAAGGACACACAGGGUGUGAUACUGGUCUAUGAUGUUGGGCAGAAAGAUUCCUUUGAUGCCCUUGAUGCAUGGCUAGCAGAAAUGAAGCAAGAGCUUGGACCUCAUGGAAACAUGGAAAAUAUUAUAUUUGUAGUGUGUGCCAACAAGAUUGACUGUACCAAGCACCGCUGUGUAGAUGAAAGUGAAGGGCGUCUUUGGGCUGAAAGCAAAGGGUUCCUGUACUUUGAAACUUCAGCACAAACUGGAGAAGGAAUCAAUGAGAUGUUCCAGAUACAUCUGGUGUAGAACUAAUGAAUGAAUUACUCUGUUAAAAAAAAAAGCUAACAAGAAGAGUGUAAUAAUACUAUUCUAUAGACCUUUUAUGUAUCCAUAGUUGAUUUAUGUGAAAAUGGCGGGAAACGUCCUACCACAAAUAGCAGUGCUAGUUUCACCAAAGAACAAGCAGACACCAUUCGCAGAAUUCGAAAUAGUAAAGAUAGUUGGGACAUGCUGGGUGUCAAACCUGGGGCCUCAAGGGAUGAAGUCAAUAAAGCAUAUAGAAAACUUGCUGUGCUUCUUCACCCUGAUAAAUGCGUAGCGCCUGGAAGUGAAGAUGCCUUCAAAGCAGUUGUGAAUGCCCGUACAGCCCUCCUGAAAACCAUCAAGUAGAAAGUAAAGAAAAAAAGAAGUGUGGGACUGGAGUGCAAGCAGACUCUCCCUAAAGGUGAAAUAGCCAACGUGGAGUUUUCCUUCACAUAAGCUCACUGCUCUUUCACUCAUGUGUUGUCAUUUGUAAAUCAGUAGUUCAGGUGCCUGUUACCAUUUCAUGGACAUCUUACUGAGAUGACUUGCCUUUGUAUGAAGUGAAGAGAACUGAGAGUCACUUGUGCACUAUGCUUAAUUUCAUAGUUCUAGAUCAUCUGAAUUUUUUUCUUAUUCAUUUGUAAGCUGGUAAUUAUAGCAUCCCUUAGGCAUUUCACUUGGGAAAGUCCCCAAGGUUUCUGGACGGAGGGUAGGAAGACAGGAGGAACCUUUUACUAUUUUCUUUUUUAAAAAAUUCAUCAUCAGAGGAGGAAAUAACAAAAAAUGAAGCAGACAACAUCAGAACCACUGAAAGUUUGGUGUGACCUUAUAAGCAAAUUACUCCUUUUACAAUGAGUUCCUUAGGUGGUAUUUUAACCAUCAUCUGUGAUGAAUGAAUCUCGGCAGCCCUUUGGAAGUUGUGAAGUGAGGCGGUACAAUUCUGAAUUGAGUCUCUCUUUUAUGACAGUCACUCUGUUCUUCUCCAACCACCAGGGGGAGAGACAAGCCAGUCCUGAGAGAGGAAAGGCAGUGAUAGUCACAAAGUCUGGGUCCACUGGCUGAUGCUCAUCCUUGCCAGAGAAAUGGUUGCUGGUAGCAGGAGCCAGCGCUGUGCCCCUGGGAAUGAGGAAUCAGGCCCUGGGAUGGAAGUACAUGCAGGUCACGCCUGGAAGGAAGGGCCAGCCUAGCUAGGGACAGGUCUGAUGCACCAGGAGAGUCCCUGUGGGAGGCUUAUCCCUUUUCUUAUCCCUCAUCAUCUGCUACAGGCAGGUGGGAAAACCAGGGCUGCUGCUGAAAAGUCUGGCUUCUCAUUGCUUCUUCACCAGUGUUACUUCUUCUUUCCCCUCCAUUCUUCUCUUCCCCUCUCAUCUUUUUACUCCCCAUGUCUGUCAUCAUUUCUCUUUUUUGGAUUCCUGGUUUCUGGCCAUGCCUCCUCCAUCUUCCCUUCCAACCCUUGACCUGGGCCUGGUUGACCAGAGACAAGUGUGGAUCCUUUGGAUGGUGGCUGGGGGAGAUCUCAGGGCCUGUGUCAGGAGGAAUCUUUAAUUUUUGCUGGGGCUGCAAAUUUCUGAAGAGUAAUCUUUUUAAACUACAGAUUAUAAAAUACAUUCUCUGGCCAUAGUCUGCUCCUCAGUCUACAAGGAGUAUCAGGACUGGCCUUUCUUAUAGCCCUUCUAGAACUAGCCUCACUACUUGGGUUAUUACAUCAUCACGCUUAUUACAUUACUCAUAUUUUUAGCUGCAUCCACACUGCACUAAUUGGGGCUUUAAAGUAUAUAAAAUGUUACUGUCUUGGGAGUUUUAAGAAACUAUCCCAUAUUGAUUGCUUACAGCAUCUACCUUACCAUCUAAGAAGAAAAGCCACUUUCUCAUACUCCAAGCCCACUGCAGUCUUCUGGUUUUUACCUCUGCCAAAGCAGCUUCACCUGUGUGACUGUACUUUGGCAGCAUUGCGCUUAUCAUCAGGAAUCCAGACCAUUGUUUUAUAGUAUAAGAUUUCAUCUUGAUGUUAUUGAAAAUGUUUUCUUUUCUGUGAUUUCUUGUGAGAUUUUCUUCUGGCCUUUGAAUUAGCCUUUGGGACUGGAGAACUCCAACCCAGAGUUCUUCUGGACCUAAGUCCUUUAGCUUAAGGAAGGCCUUCAUCAUGCCUAAUGGACUCAAACAUGAUCAUGCAUGGCAGUGUCAGCACAAAUUGAUAUGACAGCUGAGUACAUGGAUAAAAGCUGAUGCCAGUUUUCAUCACUGUUAUUAAAUUGGUCCCCUCGUUCUGCUGUAUUGUGCAGAUGAGCAAUUACAGCAGAUUCAUUAGGUAGUGCUUCCACUCAUAUCCUCAGGAAUGAUGUGGUGAAGUUUAGUCCUGGCUUGAUACUUACUCCCUGGGACUCAGUUUCCAACACCUUCAUUAUUAACAUUAAGGAUGGCCAUAUACUACUUCAUUUAUGUAAAAGGAACAAAAUAAGAAAGGUUUUAAGGUCCUAGAAUUUUUCUGAUUUCCAUAAUUCUUCUGCAGAAUAUUAAGAAAUAACAGAGCAUGAUCUGCAAUGGAGUUUUUUUGGUACUAACUUCAUGCAAAAUUUCACAGACCUCUAUGAAUUAAUUUAAAUUCUUGGUGCAAAUAUGUGCUUUGUAAUUCAGCCUUAUCAAAAAUUCUUCAUCCAGUUAGGAUUGCAAAAUACAUCACUAAUAGUAACAACUAACAGAAUAAUUUCAAUGGCUAAAAAAUUUUUUAUAGAGAAUCUUGUUUUUCAAAAAAGAGCAAAAGUUUGAACAGCUAUUAUUAUAAAGAAAAGCCAUGUCUUCCACAUUUGAGUCACCAAGAAGUAACACUUUUUAAACUUAUUAGAAAUCCCUAGAGGCAUUUCAGAUUAGUCGCCUAACCCACCUAAGCACUUUAAAAUACACCCUCCCUUUGUUCCUCUGUUCCUCUGUUUCUGUGCCUCCUUUUGGAUUGAUAUUCUCAACUGUUACUAUUUCUUUUCCUUCAGAAUUGUCGUUUUAUUUCUUCAUAUAAAUGUGUCCUUGGUUUUAUUAUUCUUUUAAUUUAAAAGUCCAGCCUUGGGGGCCUGUGUGUUGCUACCCAAGAUAAACCACUGUAAUUCUAUGGAGUGCACACCAUUCUUUAAGACUUACAUUUACCUCAGGAAACUUACUCUAAUAUGUUCUCAUAUAUUGAAUUCUCAACUGGUAAAUAUUUCUCUAUACCUAUAAACUAGCACCUAAUUCACUGUUAGUUAAAUGAGCCAUAGACAUGGCAGCUAAAUUUCUGAAGGGUUGCCAGAGUGGUAAGCAGCAGCCCUGCAAGCUCUGAAUCAGUUAAAAAAAAAAAAAAAAAAAAAGUAGCCAUUCCCCAUAGAACAAUGACAGCAUCACAGGGAGGAGGGAGGUAUUUCAGUCUCAAGUUAGAAAGGGUGGAAUCAUAGCCGUAAGCAGUGCACAUGUUGCCUUUGACAGUGACAGUGCCCUUCUUACAAGUAAUUCCAGUAGGUUUGGGAAUGUUGCUUCCUUCACCGCUGAACCCCAUGGAGCUCACUUUGUGUCUGCCAAUGUUUUUUGUAAAACUGAAAAUGAAUUUAGUUGCAAAAUAUAGCUAACUACCUUCCAUUGCAAGCUUUGUAAAGUGGAGGGGUUUAUCCUUCUCAUAAUUGGUAUUUAGCACAAUUGUAAGAUGCAGUUAAUACUGUUGGUACAUUGGUUUUUCCAUAAGCUUUCCUAGAGAAGACAAAAGCUUACAUUUGUGACGUGGAUAAGUUAGAGUGUGUCUAACGAGCAGUGCAAUAUUAAGCUGUGCAAUAAAGGCCCUGUUGGCAAGAUGGUGACUUUUGUUGGAAAGUUGGACACUUUUGGUUAGCUUCCUGCAUUAAUUGCUCCCUGGGCAUUCUUCCCCUUUGGGUGUGAAUGCAGAGUCUAUAAAAUGAACCCUUUGCUCUUAUAAGGUAAUUUACAUAUUUGCUUUCUGUUUAAAUAACUGAAAAUGUUAAAUCUACCAGUUGUUUAUGUCUUAUAUACAGAGUGUCAUAUGUAUUUAAGUUGUGUAUUUUUAUAAAGUAAAGCCAAAUAUCAAACA